rnacentral:rRNA from 1 species
CUAGAGACUGGAUUACAGGGGAAGUUUUUUUAAAUUUAAUAAUUGAAGUUAUUUUAAUUUGUGAAGAAACAAUUAUAUAAAUUAAAGACAAGAAGACCCUAAGAAUUUAAGAAUUUUUAUUAAUAUAUUAUAUGUAUAUAUAUAAAUAAAAUUCUUAGUUGGGGCAACUAAAAAAUAUAUUAAACUUUUUUUUUAAAAAAAUGACCCAUUAUUAAUGAUAAUAUGAAAAAAA